AUCAGUCUUGAUGCAGAUCUUUGCAAAGGGCUGCCUAUGAAUCAAGUGAAAUUGAAAUAAAAUGUUGGUUAAUAGAAUAAACUGAGAGAGCUGAGACGUAUUUCAACCAUCUAUAAAUACACAUUCUCACAUCAAAGUAUGAACUGAGAGAGCUGAGAUGUAUGGGAGCUAGAAGAAGAAAAUAGAUUCACUUAAGAAAUCCAACAAAGAGGAGACAAAGUAUGAAGAGGAGGAGGAAGAAGAAAAAUUAACCUGAUGAUGUACGGCGGAAAUGGCGGUGAGUCCACUCCGACUGCUUUUUUCCUAAUUCUUUUUCUUCAUUCGCUAUUUUUAAUGGAGUCUUCAUUCGACAUGAUCAGUUAAUAAGGACAUAAACCAAGCCGAAGAUGGAGGCUGCGGUUGAUUUGAGGAGAAAGCAGGGAGAGGCGGUGGUAGAUUCUUAGACAUUUCUAUUUUAACCCUAGGUAGUGAAAAUAUUAUAUUGGGCUUUGUAAUUACUACUCCAUUUGAUUUUGUUGUUGGUUUGAGCCGCUCUCAUUUUUAAUGGAGCCCAUAAAUUUGGUUGACCAACUCUCAGUUUGUGAUUAAUUUAUUUAAGUAAUUACACUAUUGGAAUUGAUUGUGAAUGUGUAUAUGAAUAUUUGAUUGGUUAAGAUUAAUAUAUAAGUUACAUAACUUUUA